GAUGUUGGAAUGGCUCAAUCAAAUAAAAUCUCCCAAAGGAUUGGGUCUUUUAAUUUGAUUGAGCCGUGCCAAUAUC